rnacentral:SRP_RNA from 1 species
GCUAGGUGUAGUUCCUGCUACUCAGGAGGCUGAUGUGGGAGGAUUACUUGAGUCCAGGAUUACUGAGCUGUAGUGCAUUAUGUUGAUCAGGUGUCCGCACUAAGUGUGACAUCAAUUUUGUGACCUAGUGAGAGCGAGGGAUCACCAAGUUGGUCUCUCCUUAAGGAGGGUUGAACUGGCCUAGGUUUGAAACAGAGCAGGUCAAAACUCCUGUGGUGACCAGUAGUGGGAUCACGCCUGUGAAUAGCCACUUCACUCCAGCCUGGGCAACAUACUGAGGCCCUGUCUCA